rnacentral:rRNA from 1 species
CGUCGAGCGAACAGGAGAGAGACGAGAAGCUUUUUGCUCUCUCUGAUGUUAGCGGCGGCACGGGUGAGUAACACGUGGGUAACCUACCUAUAAGACUGGGAUAACUUCGGGAAACCGGAGCUAAUACCGGAUAAUAUUUUGAACCGCAUGGUUCAAAAGUGAAAGAAGAGCGGUCUUGCUGUCACUUAUUUAGAUGGAUCCGCGCUGCAUUAGCUAGUUGGUAAGGUAACGGCUUACCAAGGCAACGAUGCAUAGCCGACCUGAGAGGGUGAUCGGCCACACUGGAACUGAGACACGGUCCAGACUCCUACGGGAGGCAGCAGUAGGGAAUCUUCCGCAAUGGGCGAAAGCCUGACGGAGCAACGCCGCGUGAGUGAUGAAGGUCUUCGGAUCGUAAAACUCUGUUAUUAGGGAAGAACAUAUGUGUAAGUAACUGUGCACAUCUUGACGGUACCUAAUCAGAAAGCCACGGCUAACUACGUGCCAGCAGCCGCGGUAAUACGUAGGUGGCAAGCGUUAUCCGGAAUUAUUGGGCGUAAAGCGCGCGUAGGCGGUUUUUUAAGUCUGAUGUGAAAGCCCACGGCUCAACCGUGGAGGGUCAUUGGAAACUGGAAAACUUGAGUGCAGAAGAGGAAAGUGGAAUUCCAUGUGUAGCGGUGAAAUGCGCAGAGAUAUGGAGGAACACCAGUGGCGAAGCGACUUUCUGGUCUGUAACUGACGCUGAUGUGCGAAAGCGUGGGGAUCAAACAGGAUUAGAUACCCUGGUAGUCCACGCCGUAAACGAUGAGUGCUAAGAGU